CCCGCUGAACUUAAGCAUAUCAAUAAGCGGAGGAAAAGAAACUAACAAGGAUUCCCCUAGUAACUGCGAGUGAAGCGGGAAAAGCUCAAAUUUGAAAUCUGGUGGUCUUUGGCCAUCCGAGUUGUAAUUUAGAGAAGCGUCUUCCGCGCUGGACCGUGCACAAGUCUCCUGGAACGGAGCGUCGUAGAGGGUGAGAAUCCCGUCUUUGGCACGGACACACCAGGGCUUUUGCGAUGCGCUCUCGAAGAGUCGAGUUGUUUGGGAAUGCAGCUCAAAAUGGGUGGUGAACUCCAUCUAAAGCUAAAUAUUGGCGAGAGACCGAUAGCGAACAAGUACCGUGAGGGAAAGAUGAAAAGCACUUUGGAAAGAGAGUGAAACAGUACGUGAAAUUGUUGAAAGGGAAACGCUUGAAGUCAGUCGCGUUGGCCAGGGAUCAACCUUGCUUUUGCUUGGCUUACUUUCUGGUCGAUGGGUCAGCAUCAAUUUUGACUGGUGGAAAAAGUUCAAGGGAAUGUGGCAUCUUCGGAUGUGUUAUAGCCUUUGUUCACAUACAUUGGUUGGGAUUGAGGAACUCAGCACGCCGCAAGGCCGGGUUUUUAACCACGUACGUGCUUAGGAUGCUGGCAUAAUGGCUUUAAUCGACCCGUCUUGAAACACGG
rnacentral:rRNA from 1 species